GACGAACGCUGGCGGCGUGCUUAACACAUGCAAGUCGAACGGAAAGGCCCUGCUUGCCGGGUACUCGAGUGGCGAACGGGUGAGUAACACGUGGGUGAUCUGCCCUGCACUUCGGGAUAAGCCUGGGAGACUGGGUCUAAUACCGGAUAGGAGCCAUUUUUAGUGUGAUGGUUGGAAAGUUUUUUCGGUGUAGGAUGAGCUCGCGGCCUAUCAGCUUGUUGGUGGGGUAAUGGCCUACCAAGGCGGCGACGGGUAGCCGGCCUGAGAGGGUGGACGGCCACAGUGGGACUGAGAUACGGCCCAGACUCCUACGGGAGGCAGCAGUGGGGAAUAUUGCACAAUGGGCGCAAGCCUGAUGCAGCGACGCCGCGGGGGGGAUGACGGCCUUCGGGUUGUAAACUCCUUUCGCUAGGGACGAAGCUUUUUGUGACGGUACCUAGAGAAGAAGCACCGGCUAACUACGUG
rnacentral:rRNA from 1 species